ensembl:lncRNA
ACAUGCUUUGUUUCUAUAUUACACUUCUCUUUUUUUCUUCCCUCUGCAUGAGGAAGUGAGCACUCGGAGUGCAGAAUUCCUCGCCUCUCAGUCGGGUUACACGUCACUAGGCAGGACGUCGUUCUCAUCUCAAACACUGUCGUUCAGACCUCAGGGAUCGGCGUGACGUCGGGACAAAGCGCUGGCAAAAACGUCUACAGUCAGUUGCCUUCUCCGGUCUCGGCCGAGGUGAUGAGUCCGGGAACGGCCACUCGAGAGCUGGACUCCAUCAUGAACGAGCUGCUCGGGCUGAACCUGGAGGUCUUGGAUCAGCCAGCACUCAGUGAGAAGUCUGAAAAAGACAAAAAGCCAGAAGAAAAGAAAGAAGCCACAGGAAACAGUGCGCAGAAUGAUC